rnacentral:rRNA from 1 species
AGCAGCAGCCACGGUAAUACGAAGGGUGCAAGCGUUAAUCGGAAUUACUGGGCGUAAAGCGUGCGUAGGCGGUGAGUUAAGUCUGCUGUGAAAUCCCCGGGCUCAACCUGGGAACUGCAUUUGUGACUGUAUAGCUAGAGUACGGCAGAGGGGGAUGGAAUUCCGCGUGUAGCAGUGAAAUGCGUAGAUAUGCGGAGGAACACCGAUGGCGAAGGCAAUCCCCUGGGCCUGUACUGACGCUCAUGCACGAAAGCGUGGGGAGCAAACAGGAUUAGAUACCCCCGUAGUCCCUGUCUCUUAUAC